CAACAGCCGCCGCUAAUUGCCUAAUUGGUACCAUCAAGUAUGCUGAAUUAGCUGUUAUCAGUUCCCGUUUGCUGAGUGCCCAUCGUCGUACAGACAGCCGUCACUGGAUCAACUUUGCCGCACUGAUGAACACGACAAACUUCAUUAACCCGAUUACAGAUCACGACUGUCGGCUGUCGGCGGCGAGGAGGGGACGCAGCAGCAGAACUUACUGACCUCAUCUUCUAACAGGACCAUUAGGGCAUCUGCUGCAGUCGCCCGGCCAGUGAACCGGGAGGUGAAACCAACACAACGAGCCGUAAUCUGAUCCAGCAGAUGACCAAACCACUCUCGGCAUCACGGCCGAGCCUCCGUGAACCGCUCGCUGCUCACAAACCGGACCGCAGCGGUUCAGGAUGUGGUGCAGAUUAUUCUUCGUUGACCAUGUUGUUUCCAGAUUCGAAACCGCUUUCUAAAAACUCGUCUGUUCAUGUUUGUACGUAUCAACGUUGAUGAUUCAAUUAGCUUUAUGAAUCGGUUGCCAGGUUGUGAAAAUUAAUUGCAAUACCUGGGUUGGUUCUCGCUUUUAGACGAGGCAGCAGUCGUAAAAGGUCACUAAUGUGCUUUAUUUAUGGCCAAUAAGUCAUAUACCAAUAAUUAACACAUCACUGAGAGGCCAUUAAUAAGAGACAGCUCAGGGUUGCCAAGUUAGUUGGAGCUAAAAGCAUUUAUCAGUAGCAACUUGUUCACAUAUAUCACAGCUGCUGUCUGGACGGAUUGUUGUGGGAGAUGUAAAAUAACUUGUCGUGUUAUGAAGAAGUAAGAAACCUUUGAGUUAUUAAUUUAUCAUCAACAUUUACAAAAUAAGAUCGUAAAAUACCAGCGAAGGAGAUUUCUUUAUCAAUCUGGCAACCCGAACCUGCUUCUGAAUAAGAGUAUAACUGGUUCAUAAAGCAUUGGUAAAUGACGAAUAUAGUAACUUCAAAGUUUAACAGUUUAUCAGUGAGUGAUUCUAACUAACGUUUUAAUAGGAGGCGACGCUUUUCGUGAAUUAAAGGUGCAGUGCGUAGAUUUAGAGGAAGAAAUAAACAAACUGUCUUUGUUUCCAUGACUGAAUAAACAAGCUGAUCUUAAAGGA